rnacentral:rRNA from 1 species
CCUACGGGAGGCAGCAGUGAGGAAUAUUGGUCAAUGGGCGCGAGCCUGAACCAGCCAAGUCGCGUGAGGGAUGAAGGUUCUAUGGAUCGUAAACCUCUUUUAUAAGGGAAUACAGUGUGGGUAGUGUCCUAUUUUGUAUGUACCUUAUGAAUAAGGAUCGGCUAACUCCGUGCCAGCAGCCGCGGUAAUACGGAGGAUCCGAGCGUUAUCCGGAUUUAUUGGGUUGAAGGGGUGCGUAGGCGGCCGUUUAAGUCAGCGGUGAAAGUCUGUGGCUCAACCAUAGAAUUGCCGUUGAAACUGGGGGGCUUGGGGAUGUUUGAGGCAGGCGGAAUGCGGGGUGUAGCGGUGAAAUGCUU